UAACGGCGAGUGAAGCGGUAACAGCUCAAAUUUGAAAUCUGGCCUCACGGUCCGAGUUGUAAUUUGUAGAGGAUGCUUCGAGCAUGGUCUGGCCUAAGUUCCUUGGAACAGGACGUCAUAGAGGGUGAGAAUCCCGUAUGCGGCCAGGUGCCUACGCUCAUGUGAAGCUCCUUCGACGAGUCGAGUUGUUUGGGAAUGCAGCUCAAAAUGGGUGGUAAAUUUCAUCUAAAGCUAAAUAUUGGCCAGAGACCGAUAGCGCACAAGUAGAGUGAUCGAAAGAUGAAAAGCACUUUGGAAAGAGAGUUAAACAGUACGUGAAAUUGUUGAAAGGGAAGCGCUUGCAACCAGACUUGCGCGCGGCCGAUCAUCCGGUGUUCUCACCGGUGCACUCGGCCGUGCUCAGGCCAGCAUCGGUUUUGGCGGCUGGAUAAAGGCCCUAGGAAUGUAGCUCCUCUCGGGGAGUGUUAUAGCCUAGGGUGCAAUGCAGCCUGCUGGGACCGAGGACCGCGCUUCGGCUAGGAUGCUGGCGUAAUGGUUGUAAGCGGCCCGUCUUGAAACACGGACCAAGGAGUCUAACAUCUAUGCGAGUGUUUGGGUGUCAAACCCAUACGCGUAAUGAAAGUGAACGGAGGUGAGAACCCUUAAGGGUGCAUCAUCGACCGGUCCUGAAGUUUACGGAAGGAUC
rnacentral:rRNA from 1 species